GGCUUUAUAGUCAAUAUAUGAUAUCAGACUGCAAUUCUGGGGUAGUAAUCUUACUUACUAAAGCUU
rnacentral:tRNA from 1 species